GACGAACGCUGGCGGCGUGCUUAACACAUGCAAGUCGAACGGAAAGGCCCUGCUCUUGCUGGGUGCUCGAGUGGCGAACGGGUGAGUAACACGUGUGUAACCUGCCCUUGUCUUUGGGAUAACUUCACGAAACUGGGGCUAAUAUCCGAUAGGAGCUCCUGCUGCAUGGUGGUCGUUGGUAAGUUUCGGCGGUUGGGGAUGGAAUCGCGGCUUCUCCGCUUGAUGGUCGAGUAGUGGCUUACCAAGGUUUUGACGGAUAGCCGGCCUGAGAGGUUGGCCGGCGACAUGGGGACUGAGAUACGGCGCAGACGGCUAUGGUAGGCAAUGGUGGGAAAUAUUGCGGAACGGGCGGAAGUGUGAUACGGCGGUGCCGGGAUCGGAAUGCUGUCUUUCUAGUUGUGAACCGCUGUCGACGGUAACGUAGCGUUAUUGACGGUAAUGGGUAAAGAAGCACCGGCUAACUACGUG
rnacentral:rRNA from 1 species